GGAUUAGAUACCCUGGUAGUCCUAGCUGUAAACGAUGGAUACUAGACGUAGGAACUGGAUUGACGGUUUCUGUGUCGCAGCUAACGCGUUAAGUAUCCCGCCUGGGGAGUACGGUCGCAAGACUAAAACUCAAAGGAAUUGACGGGACCCCGCACAAGCGGUGGAGCAUGUGGUUUAAUUCGAAGCAACGCGCAGAACCUUACCAGUCCUUGACAUGGAGAGUUUGGUUUCCGGAGACGGAUUCCUUCAGUUCGGCUGGCUCUCACACAGGUGCUGCAUGGCUGUCGUCAGCUCGUGCCG
rnacentral:rRNA from 1 species